ACGCUCGACACCUACGGGAGCAGCAGUCGGGAAUAUUGCGCAAUGGAGGAAACUCUGACGCAGUGACGCCGCGUAUAGGAAGAAGGUUUUCGGAUUGUAAACUAUUGUCGUUAGGGAAGAGAAAGGACAGUACCUAAGGAGGAAGCUCCGGCUAACUACGUGCCAGCAGCCGCGGUAAUCUGAGCGGGCUGGCAAGGC
rnacentral:rRNA from 1 species